CAAAAAUUGGGACAUAUAAAAAAAGACAACUCUGUUCCACAGAGUAGCUGUUGACAUUAAAGUUGUGCAGGAACUUUGUUGACUCUAGAGAACCAUGGGCAAAUCGCACAUCCCCGUGGUGGCGGCUUUGCAUGCGGAUGUCAUCCAUAUCAACUUUCAAUGCCAGUUUCUGCACCUACCAUGGUGACCACGGGUAAUGGGGAAUCAGGGUUCCAUUCUGUACAGGGACACUGAGAAAUGGCUACCACAUGCAAGGAAGGCAGCAGGCGUGCAAAUGAACCACUCCCAACGCGAGAAGGUAGUGACG
rnacentral:rRNA from 1 species